rnacentral:lncRNA from 1 species
CAGCCCAAUAAAGUCAUCCACUCAUCAGUUAUUUAUUAAGCACCCACGAUGUGCCAGGUCCUCUGCCAGGAGGGUAGGAGAUUAUGACAAAUAUAGUCCCAGUCUUUCCCCUCGUGGAGACAACUGUCAAGUGGGGGAGAAACGCCAUGAGAAAGUAUUCACCGCACAGCAUCCCAGCUUUGAUAGCUCACGUACAGAGUAAACGUGCACGUGAGCACACGGUGGAGGCGCAUGGCUUGCAGGAAAGGGGCACCUGGGUUGAGACCUGAAGGCGGAACAGGCAGGCGGAGAUGGGGGAAGGACACUCCCUGUGAAGGGUAGGAGGUACGAAGGUGAGUGGAGAGAGCGCGGAGGGAGGGUUGAGUCUGAUGUUGAGAGUAGAGUCCAACUGGAGAGGUAACAAAGGACCUCGUGGGCCGCUUAAGGAACAGGAACUUUGUCCCAAGAGCAGGCUUGGGGGCUUCAAGCCGGGAGGGACGUGGGGAGGUUCUGUUUCAAAGAUAAGUCUGGCUCCAGUGUGGACAAUGGGUUGCAGUGGAUGGCGGGGGAGGAAGCGCUGAGCACUUACGGUGCCAGGAAGCCCGCUGGAAAGCUGGGACAGAGGAGAUGCGGGCUGGGGGGGUGGAGGAAGCCUGGGGCAGGGCACGGGCAGGGGGGUCGAGAGAACGGGUGAGAGCAAAUGAUGCCCCAACUUCUUCCUGUAAAGAUUUUCACCGUGCUGAAGGGUUGAAGGAACAGCUGAUGAACAAUGCGUCUCCACCUCGAUCCAGCCAUCGUGAACAUGUCCCCUCAUUUGCUUUCUCCUGACGGGUAGAUAGCAACAGGUAGAUUUCCUUUUUCUGAACCGUUUGACAGUGUGUUGCAGACACGACGACGCUUUGUCCCUGAGUCCCUCAGCUGCAUCUCCCGAAUAAGGACGUUUUCCUCCUGAACCACAAGACCAGUAUCACACUGGAAAGUCAGCAGGAACGGCAUCUGCUGUCUGGUCUGCGUUCGGAUUCCCGCGGUUAUUCCCAGGCUGUCUUUUAUGGUUGGGUUUUGUUUGUUUUGAAAGCGAGGGACCAUCAAGUUUCCAGCGUUGCAUUUGGUUUCGUCUCUCUGGUCUCCAAGAAAGAUUCUGGAGGUGGAAUGCACAGCGCUCGGAGUGAGUCAGCCCUGGCGGGGGCAGGGUCAAGAGCAGGCACCAACAACACGCCACAGCCACAGACAAGACCGACUGGUUCCGUGGUGGCUGGUUCUGUCCCACGCGCUUCCGUCGCAGUUCCUGAAAUGGAGGAAAACCCCAGAAGACCCUGCACACUGGCCCUUAUGUGGCAUUGAUGAGAACAGGGGCCCAGGCCCUCUCUUAGCUUAUCAGAAGCAAAGGGGAACGAUGCCAGCCGACUCGGACCGAUCCUGAUCCUCUUCAGGGGGGAUGGGCACGGCCCAGAGAAAAAAGACUUCCACUGGUGUCAAUAGCGCAUCUGUGCUCUCCGGGACUGACAUGCACCAACCAAGCUCCCGUCAGGCUUAUCGUUGGACCAAAACUUUAGAUAGUCGGUUGACUAUGAGAAAUAGAACUGCCAUGGAAACCGGAACACUCAGGCUGAUCAUCGCCCCCGCUCAGGGGCCACUCGGACCUCAGUUUCCUCAUCUGCAAAAUGGGAAGGAUGCGGGGACAGCCACGUGGGGAAUUAUUUUAAGAAUUAAAUGAGAAUUAGUAAAAUGGUGGUUCUCUUUCUUUCCUUUUCUCCUCGUCUUCCCACCUCCACCAUGGCAGAGACAUACGGGUGACUCUACGGCUAAAGUCACCAGGCUAAUGAAGCC